UUACAUUCCUCUAAACAAACAAAAUAAUCACUGGAUUACUGUCGUCAUGCAUAGCGGAAAAAGAGAGUUUCAGGUUCUUGACUCGUUGAUGACCGGAAAACUUGACACUGUUACUAGAGAACUCGUUGAGGACCUGAGAAAACAACUAGCAGAAGAUAUCCAAGAAGCAAAUGCAACCGGAAUUGUGAAUUAUCCGGAUGUUUCCAAGUGGCCUAUUCAAACGUAUGACAUGCCAAAACAACAUGAUGGGAAUUCGUGUGGACUAUUUCUCCUUCGAUGCUUUCAAAAUUGGGAUGGUGACAAAUGGACAGGCUUAUUUUCACAG